UACGGAGGGUGCAAGCGUUAUCCGGAUUCACUGGGUUUAAAGGGUGCGUAGGUGGGUCUGUAAGUCAGUGGUGAAAUCUCCGAGCUUAACUCGGAAACUGCCAUUGAUACUAUAGGUCUUGAAUUAUCUGGAGGUAAGCGGAAUAUGUCAUGUAGCGGUGAAAUGCUUAGAUAUGACAUAGAACACCAAUUGCGAAGGCAGCUUACUACGGAUAUAUUGACACUGAGGCGCGAAAGCGUGGGGAGCAAACAGG
rnacentral:rRNA from 1 species